rnacentral:tRNA from 6 species
GGACGGUUAGCUCAGCUGGUUAGAGCGCUACAUUGACAUUGUAGAGGUCAUAGGUUCGAGUCCUAUACCGUCCACCA